rnacentral:rRNA from 1 species
UACGUAGGGGGCUAGCGUUGUCCGGAUUUAUUGGGCGUAAAGAGCGUGUAGGCGGCCAUGUAGGUCCGGUGUGAAAACUCGAGGCUUAACCUCGAGAUGUCAUCGGAAACCAUUUGGCUAGAGUCCGGAAGAGGAGAGUGGAAUUCCUGGUGUAGCGGUGAAAUGCGCAGAUAUCAGGAAGAACACCAAUAGCGAAAGCAGCUCUCUGGGACGGUACUGACGCUGAGACGCGAAAGCGUGGGGAGCGAACAGG